CGACUGCUGACGAUCUGACAGAAGACUGCAUGGAUAGUUUUGGUGAGUAAGGAAAAAGAAGGGGAAACUUUAUCUUGGAUCUUCAAUCUUGGUAUUUCCUGGAUCCACUUUGUUGGUUCAUGACGCUUCAAUGCUGGAAAGUAAAUUAGUUGAUAAAUUAAGCUCCCGGAUAAUGGCGGCGCUAAAUGAUAGAGCUGCGAUACGGGAAAAUAAUUCGGUGAUUCCGUCGUUGGUUUUUGAAGAAACUGACCAGUAUUCGGCUUUCAAAGACUCGGCGAUUGUGAUGGCACGUUUUUCUACUAUCUCGUAAACUUGGGUCGACUGGAAAUUUUAUUUAUUUGGAUUAAAAUUUUUGUUAAUAAUUAUUAAAUAAAUUUAUAUAUAUAUUUUUUUUUUGUA